rnacentral:rRNA from 1 species
AGGCCCAGAGAGGGUGUAAGGCCCGUUGAGGCGAGACGUGCGGAACCCGGUAUGUCCUUAGAGUCGGGUUGUUUGGGAAUGCAGCCCUAAGCGGGUGGUAAACUCCAUCCAAGGCUAAAUACUAGCACGAGUCCGAUAGCGAAGAAGUACCGCGAGGGAAGGUUGAAAAGAACUUUGAAGAGAGAGUUCAAGAGUACGUGAAACCGCUGAGAGGCAAACUGGUGGAACUGAAAUGGCUCCGAGGAAUUCAGCCGUUGGUGGGUGAACAUUGUCUGUUGUUUAACGACAACGGCAGGCGAGGCUUACUCACAUUCGGUGCACUUUCCUCGGGCCCGACCACGACCGGUGAGCUGAUCUGUCUGUCGUGCCUGGAAGAUAGCGUCAUCUUCGGAAGACGUGUUAUAGACAGGCGCACGGAGCAGUCGGCGCACUGGAUGAGUGCCUGCCCCCUGGGCUCAUAUGGCGGUUGUUUUGUUGGCGAUUCUGAUGUCACUACUUCGGUAGAGUCGUUGGAAUUGUUGGCAUUAUGGCUGUCCUCUAUGAGUGGCACUGGAGUCUGUGGUUGUGAAGUAGGUAGUCCACCUGACCCGUCUUGAAACACGGACCAAGGAGUCUAACAUGUGCGCGAGUCAUUGGGUUCGCGAAACCUAAAGGCGCAGUGAAGGUAAAGAUCUGUCUUGGCAGAUUGAGGUGGGAUGCUGGGUUACGCGCCCAGCCGCACUACCGGCCCGUUCUAUAUGUAGGAGCGGAGCAAGAGCGUACACGUUGGGACCCGAAAGAUGGUGAACUAUGCUUGCGCAGGUCGAAGCCAGAGGAAACUCUGGUGGAGGACCGCAGCGAUUCUGACGUGCAAAUCGAUCGUCAAACGUGAGUAUAGGGGCGAAAGACUAAUCGAACCAUCUAGUAGCUGGUUCCCUUCGAAGUUUCCCUCAGGAUAGCUGGCACUCGGGAAAUGAAACAGUUUUAUCCGGUAAAGCGAAUGAUUAGAGGUAUUGGGACGAAACUGCUCUCAACCUAUUCUCAAACUUUAAAUGGGUAAGAUGC